GCUUCUCUUCCUGUUUUAAACACCGUCUGUUACUACAAGCAAACGCCGACGCACCGACGUGAUCAGCACCAGGUCGCGUUGAUGUGAACACCGGUUACAGUUAACUUGGCGUUAAAACUUCAACUUAACCAGCCGGGGAGCUAACUUAAGUUAGCUUUCAUUAAUAAGAGGAGGCUGGUCUGGAAGCCACUGGAUAUAAGCCAGAUUUCUUUCCCACAGUGGUUUGACUAUUGAAAACUAAAGAUGUGGGGCAUUGUCUCAAUAUGUGGGACACAGGGACAAAGGAUAAGAAUGAUGUGCAGUCCAACCUUAAGUGGGACACCUGGUCACCAAAAACGUAAUCAAAGGGCUGGGCCAAGAUGACUAUAAUGCUUCAACAGCAAAUUAUUCUCAGGAACUGCAUCAUGCAUGGAGUACUUCCUUUUUAUGAGGGUGAUGAGAGGUUGUAUAGGACGUGUGAUUAGGGAUGAAAAGUAUUGCUGCAAAUGACAGUGUGAGGUGGAGGACUGAAUUGAUUGUGUAAUGAGUUUCGUUCUUU